CGGCCGCUUGCCCGCCCGGUGCCGGGAGUAGACGGCGAACAGCACGGGCGGCGCCGACAGCAGCAGGAUGUGGAAGAGCCAGAAGCGGUAGUGCGACACCGGGAAGGCGCGGUCGUAGCAGGUCUGGCGACAGCCGGGCUGCAGCGUGUUGCACACGAACUCCUCCUGCUCGUCCUCGAACACGGCGCCGCCCACCGUGGCCAGCACCAGGAUACGGAAGAUCAGCAUGACCACCAGCCACAGGCGGCCCAGUAGCGGCGACUGCAGCUGCACGGCGUCCAGCAGCGAGCCCAGGAAGGCCCACUCGGCCAUGGCGCUGGGGACGGCGGCGCGAGUCAGGCGCGGGGAGCCUGCCCACCCUCGGGGGAGCCUGGCAGUGGGUCCCCGCACCUUGGGCCCCGCCCGGACUCUCAGGACCCAGAAGGCCCCACCUGCCUGGCCAUCUCCCACCGCACGCAGGACGGGGCUAAGCCAAGGUGGCCCCGCUCCAGGGUCCCCCACCCCACUCCCACAUCCCGCAGGGCCCUGAGCCCCCAGACCCACCCCACCCCACUCACCCAGGGCCGGGCUGGACCCUCACGGGGCAGCGGGGCAGCAGGGACGCCGGCUGGGACCUGUCCCUCCCGGGCCCUCUUUCAUUUUCCCUUUCGGGUUGGAGCCGGGAUGGAGGACAGGACAGGGUGGCUGAGGGGCUCGCCUCCCCCUUCUCUUAAAGGGACAGGGACAGGGUGACCCUGCUGAUGGCAGCUCCACCCUGGCCAGGCUGUUUCCAUCCCCCGUGCCAGCCCCUCCCGGGUUAUCACCGCCUGCAGAUGGGGCUGGGGUCACCCGGAGCUGCAUCCUGUGCCAGGUGACCGGGGCCCACCGCAGCUGGUGUCCCUGGCAUGUCUCGGGGCUGGCAUUUAGGUGUCACCUUCUGCCCCUGCUCCCACUAGGCUGUGGCCACUCUGGGCCGGGAUCGCCCGGCAGUCACCCGAGGAGGCCGGCCAGCUGCCCCCAGGAUUUGGUCUGUCCAGCACCGUGUUCACACUCAGGUUCCCACUGUUGCGGAAAACCCCAGAAAGCACUGUGUGGAAACCCAGGAGGUGCCCAGCAGGGCCAGCCUUGGGCCUAAACAAAGGUUCGGCUUCUUUCCUGUUCCCUGACUUGCAGUUGCUGGGAUGAACACCUUGGUUGGUUGGUUUUAAGACAGGCCGGGCAGUGUAACCCAGGAACCUGCGACCUUGUGCUUGUGAGGCAGGCGGCGGAACCACUGGGCUGAGUCCCUGGCCCUGCCCCUGAGCUCUUGAUCCUCCUGCCUCAGCCUGCAAGUGCUGGGAUGACAGAUGUGUCUGUGUAGAGGUGCAGGUGCUCCUCUGCUCUGGGGGAGGGUGGCCGAUGCAGACUCUGCAGGGCGAGGGGACCCCCGCACCUCCCCAGGAGCCUCCCAGCCUGCACAGCAUCCUGAGCCCAGCACUGUGUACAUCAGGGAAACUGAGGCCAGGGGGUCAUGCAGCAGGUGUGCUUCAGCCUGGCUGGCUUUCCCAGGGGGCGUCUGGGACCAGGCUGUCCCUGGGGCUUGCGUGGGGCUGGAGGCUGCCACGUGGAGGUGGCCGGACCCUUCCCUGUUCCUCUUCGGGGGAGGACACAGGCCCUGGGCCCCGCCCAGCCUGCAGCGCUCAGGGUUGUGCCCGGGUGGGCUCCCGCCUGGUCUCCUCCCGCCUCAGCACUCCCUCUGGAGUGGCCUGGGUGGGGGGCGCCACCCUGGCCAGAGUCCAAAGGCGCAGCAGGAGCCCGGGCCCCACAUGCUGGAAACAGGAUGUGGGGGGGCUCCGCGGGUCUCCCCUCUCCCGCUGAGGCAGAGCUGUCACCCGCGCCCCUCCUGCUGUCCCGGGCCUAUCCCUGCCUGGCCCAAGGCCCAGCCUGGAAAAACCCAUCAGACCCCGCCUGAGUGGGGCGCAGAGGGGUCCAGGCGGGCGGGUGGGGAGCCUGGGCCACCCGCACUGUCCCCCAGCGCGAGGCCACAGCGCGGGCACGGGCGCCUGCCCGAUAGCGGAGGUGUCGCUGAUGCUGCGCAGAGCUGACCACAGCGGCCUCCCGCGCGCGCCCCCCGGCGGUUAAGUGUAUGUCUCAUCCGGCCUGGGACAACCCACGGCCUUGGGCGAGCAGGGCCGAGCCACCCAGCUGAUCCCCGGCCCUUACUUCUCCUUUUCAGUGGGUUUCUUGCGUAAAAACUCCCAAGGACCUGCGGUCAUGCCAGGUGUAACCGGGUCAGGGUCCGGCUGAGUGGGACAAGGCCUCCCGGCCCACCCGCUGGCUGCCACCCAGUGACUCGCGGGGCGUGGUGGGUGUCCUCAGCGGGCAGGUCGGGCACCACGCUGUGCAGGGCGACAGACCGGGUGGGCGGGUGUGUGGGAAGCCUGUGAACGCGGUUCCUCCGGUGCUGUCCAAAGAGGGACCGCAAGCCAGCCUCGCCUGUCAGCCCAGAGCUUGGGAGGCUGAGGCCGGAGCAUCAGACCGAGUUCAAGGCCAGCCUGGACUAGACUCUGUCUCAAAAGAAGAGGAGCUCCCUGUGACCUGGCCCGAGCACCGGGUCGGAGGACGCUGCCCCCUCGCCCGCACCCUGGGUGCCUGGCGCCCCGGCAGCCUGCUGGGGUCUGGAGAGGCUCCGGGCUGUGGAAAUCGAGGAACAUCUGUGAUCAGUUCCCGAAAAUAUUUGCUGGUUUGAAAACUACAGAAGAGUCCAGAAAAGAAGAUAGAAACCACCCAAAUUGCAUCCAGAGAAGCAGCUGAAGUUCGGCUGUGACCGCUGUGUGCCCAUUGGUGCCCAGGGCAGCGGUUCCCAACAUCAUGGCACUGAGAAUCAGCAGGACGGCUCGCUGAACAAAGGCUCCCAUCCUAGCCCUCGGAGGCUGCGGCAGGAGGAUCGCAAGGCCAAGUCCAGCUUGGGCAACUUUGUGACACGCUGUCUCAAGAUACAGAGGAGAGCCUGGGUUCAGUGACCAGCAGCGCAAACCCAAGACAAGUGCUUCUCAGCCGGCGGGCCUGGGUGGGACGGCGCCUGGCGUCUCUCACUCCCGGGCCCAGGGAACACACGGCAGAGUGACUGGCCUUCGGGUUAUGCCUUCGUUAUUUCAAGAAGGGGCCACAACCUGUGGUGCUGGCAUCACUCGGGAACUUGUGAGAAAUGCAGAAUCUGAGGCCCCAGCCCAGCCCCAUUGAAUCGGAAGCUGUACUUUCUCAGCAGGACCCCUGAACACUCUGUAGCUGGCGUGGUGCUGCACGCCUGUCAUCCCAGCGCUCAGGAGGCUGAGGGAGGAGAGUUGCGUUUUCAAGGUCAGCCUGGGGUACAUAGUGAGACCUUGCCUCAAAAAGAAAGCACCGAUGUGCGCAGGACUGGCUUAUAUUUUGAGCAUUAUACUGUGUUACAGAGCUUCGCCCUAGAUCACUGAUACAAUUUACACACAAUAAAUGUGCCAUUGUGGAGCUCUGAUAAAAUUACACAGGACCGUCUCCCAUCUUUUCUGUCUGCUCACCAGGACUUUCCUGUACAGUUAAAUGUUUUGGGAAAACAGGAUCUUUCUUUGCAGUGCAGGUUGUCCCUGAACUCACUGUGUAGCCCAGGGUGGUCCAACUCAGUGAUCCUCCUGUCCCAGC
rnacentral:lncRNA from 1 species